CUCAGUCAAGUUAUUAUUGCAUUAUUGUUAUAAAUGUUUUAGAAUAGAGUAACAUUUUGUUUAAAUAGAGUCACAUUUCUCCAUUUCUCCGCUCCCAAUUGACUUUUUGUUUAUUUGUAUAUUUAUUCCUCUCUUCCCCCAACAUAGAUCAACACUAUUGGGUGAUAGGAUGUGAAAAAUAGUGUAAAGUUUGUGUGAAAGGAGAAAUGGUGUGAAAUUGUGUGUGAAAAAAAGGUGUGAAAGUUUUGUUAGUGUGAAUUUUUCCCCAACUAUUUCACACCAGUGUGAAAUUGGUGUGAAACUUAAAUCACUUGAUUGACUAUAGUGCGAGAUUGGUGUGAAAAAAAACAUAUUUUGUUUAUAAAACAUGUAAGGCCCCUUUAGUGUUUAUUUGACAAUAGUAACACUUUUUUAGUGAUAACUGUAUUAUAUAUGAUAACAGCUUGAUUAACAGUACGGGAGUGAGGUUACUCGUUUAUAGAAAUGUGGUGGUGUUCAUCAAGCUUAUUACCAUUCACCUAUUCACGUUCUCUUUUUUCUACUAAAAUAUGUUCGAGGUUUGACCUUACGUAAAUGGCGUUCCCUAUUAUUUACAUUUCCAAUAGAUUUCUAAGGUUUUUAGGAAUUCCUUUUUUUCCCUAGAUUUUGCCUUAGAUUUCCCAAGUUCGAUCUCUAAAGGUGUGAAGAGAAUAAUCAAACUUCCUAAAAAUUCCUAGGAUUUCCUAGCAUAAGCGAUAGACCAGAAAAUCGGAAGAAUUUGGAUUGGAAAUCUUAGGAACCCUAAGGAAGAAGAUUUGAAGCAUUCUGUAAUUUAGUAACCACUUAUUAGUAAAUUCUUACAAAAUAAUAAUAGAACAUUUUCAUCACCAGAACAGACCUCACCAAACAACAAUAAGAAACGUGAUUAUUAUGUGGUGUACUUUUUUCAGAAUUAGUACUGCAAUUGAAAAGAAGGAUUUGAAAAGGGUGAUAAUUGUUAAGAAGUUUUAGAAGUUUUAAUGCUACUUGAGAUAAUAAAAAAAAAGAAGUCCCGCUUUUUGCAGAUAGAAGACGGCUCAGCAGGGCCCGCCGUAAAACCAAAAUGUGCCGGGCCUCCUUUGCUUUAGUGGCCGAGCGGGGCUUGAGCCCAAGGCGCAAAGCCAUUACGGUCGAACGAACGCCACAUUAUUGUAGCCUCCAAAUAGAUAGCCGUUUAUGCCCGUCUUUUCUACGCGUAAUCUACCUAUUUCAAGAAUUUGAUGAGCAGAAUAUUGAUUGAAGUUAAAGGACAUAUGAAAGAGAAAGCUAAAUGUGCUCGAGUUGCAAAGCCAGGAAAGAAAGAAAUUUGAGGUACAAGGAAUGUAUCAAUAAGUAAAUCGCUAGAAUCGAAUUUUAAGCUUAAAACUUUGUAAACUGAUUCACUGACAUAAGUUCUUGAAGUACAUUAUGAUGAAGCGCCUAUAUCUUUAUGAACUGUUUCUAGAAGCACACACUUGCCUAAUUUUGCUUAAUGAAAUAUAAUCUUGCACCUAAACUUUGUCCAGAUAUUUAUUUUGAAUAAGCUUAUCUAAUGUACCUGUAGUUUUUUUUUUUUUUCAGAUAUUUUUUUUAUAUUCUGAUCACAGUAGAACCCUGCAUAUGCAGAAACUAGUUAAUCUUUUCAAGCUAUCGUGCUAAGUUCGAAUUUAAAUGGUGUCUAGGCUUCUAGGAUAUUGUACUAAUUCUACUCUAGCUGGUAUCCUUUUUUCCUAUGCUAUUUUGCUUUAACCUGAGGCACUAGGAGUGCUUGAAUUGGAAAUUUAGUCCAUUCAUUUUUUUUAAGGCUAAUUUCUUUUUAACAGUAGAACUCUUCUAAAUGGGACUCCAUAUACUUAAUAUAUUAGUUAUGCUGGCAUACAUGGGACUGAUUUUUAAAGUCCAGGAUUUCGCACAAAUAGACAAUAAUCACAGGCUGUGAGUUCUAUUGUAUGUUUGUAUUUACUACAUUAUCCUGCAAAAAAAUGUGAUGCACCUAAACUUUGAAUAAAAAGAAUCUUGAAUGUU